rnacentral:rRNA from 1 species
CCUACGGGCGGCAGCAGUGAGGAAUAUUGGUCAAUGGGCGCGAGCCUGAACCAGCCAAGUCGCGUGAGGGAUGACGGUCCUACGGAUUGUAAACCUCUUUUGCCGGGGAGCAAGCGUGCGUUCGUGAACGCGCGUCGAGAGUACCCGGAGAAAAAGCAUCGGCGAACUCCGUGCCAGCAGCCGCGGUAAUACGGAGGAUGCGAGCGUUAUCCGGAUUUAGGGGGUUUAAAGGGUGCGUAGGCGGGAUGCCAAGUCAGCGGUAAGCAUGCGGUGCUCAACGCCGUCGAGCCGUUGAAACUGGCGUUGUGCAGUGGGCGAGCAGUAGGCGGAAUGCGUGGUGUAGCGGUGAAAUGCAGAGAUAUCACGCAGAACUCCGAUUGCGAAGGCAGCAUACCGGCGCCCUACUGACGCUGAGGCACGCAAGCGUGGGUAUCGAACAGGAUUAGAUACCCUGGUAGUC